GGAUUUAAAAAAAAAAAAAUCGGGUCUGCUUCUCUUUCUUCAACACAAGCAGUAUUCUUUCUCCAUGAAAACCAGCUCAAAGGUCCCAAAUACCAUAUAAAGCUCUGUAAACACCAGCUCUAAAACCAGCCUUUAUCAGUCACAAAGACCACCUGAAAAUACAAGAAAACAGCCACCAAAACCUCCUAAUACUACCUCAAAUCCCUUCCCAAUACAGCAGCGAAAAUCAGUCCAAACACACCUCACAAAACAACUCCAUAACCAUCGAGUGCUAGUAUCGAAAUCUUGGAGUUUCGAGGUUACAUAUUGUUGGUUCUGUUUUGUAGUUCGAGAGGUCCGUCGAGGUUGCCGCCGGCAAAGGUUUAUGUAAAGUUUGAUCCAGUCAAUAUAGAGGUCCAUUUCCAAUCUAAUCUUUUAUCCUUCAAUGCAUUUGGAUCUAGCAAAAGAAAUUUCGUUAGCUGUGAGUAGUGCAGGUUGUUUGCGUUCCAUAUUUUUGUCAUGCUUUAAAGUCUAAUUUGAUCCUUUAACUUGGUACCAUGAUAUUCGCUACUAUAAUUUUAUUUGUAUUAUGAAUGUUUUAAGUUAAAUGAUAUUCUUGUUAGUACGUAGUUGCAGGUGUGUUAAAGUCAUGAAUAUAUAAACAUAUUAUUUCUAUAAUCUGAUGUCAUAUGUAUAAAUAGAAGAAUAUUAUUCCCUUUAUUAGCUAAAAGGGAAACAAAAAUUGAAAUUUGUUAGAGUUAAGGAUGUGUAGGCUAGUUGCUAUAGAAUUUUGGGCCAAAUAAAUGGGCCAUUGGUAUUGGAAAUCGGAUAUAAGCUUGGAACAAGAAUGAGGUUUUGGUUCAAAUGAGUCGCAUUGCACCAUGGCUUUUAGGUUAAACACUGACUUAUUUCAUCGAUAAUCCAGAACACCGAAUUACUCAAAAAAUACUAGCAUGCCUUUAUGCACGUUCUCGUAACAAAUAUAUCAUAAUUAUGUACAUGUUCGCGUGAUAUGAUUAUGAUUUUCAAAAAUAAAAUUAAUGUAUGUGUUCGCGCAACUUUGGGCGAAACAAUCUUAAAAAUAAUAAAAUAUUAUUAAUUGUGUACACGCACGCGUGACAUGAUUCCUGACAUAGCAUGCAAAUAGAAUACACGUACGCAUGAUUCGUUUCAAGAUAAUUCCAUAGUUAAAAAUAAUCAAGGAAUUAAAAGCGACUUUAAGGCAAAAGUGCAUAAAUUUCUGUAGAACAUAAAAUAUCCAGAAUUAGUUAAGCCAAGUAUAAUUAUUUAAAGCGACCGUGCUAGAACCACGGAACUUGGGAGUGCCUCACACCUUCUCCUGGGUUAUCAGAAUUCCUUACCCGGUCUUCUAUGUUUCGCAGACUUAAUCGGAGUCAAUUUCCUUGAAUUGAGAUUUUAAAAUAAAUGGUGACUUGGGACACCAUAAAUAUUUAUUCCAAGUGGCGACUCUUCAAAUUAAAAUAAAUUAAUCCUUUUUCAAAUAAUGUCACUUAAAUUGAAAAAACUCCUUUCUUUCCUAUCCCCUGCGGUAAAAAGGAGGUGUGACAGCUAUGACGACUCUGCUGGGGAAAAUAAGAUUUCGAGCUUGUAAUGUGAUCUAUACUUGGCUUUAUUAAUUUAAUGUUAUUACUGUGUUUUAGGGCCUAAUGUGCUAAUUGCCACUUAUUUACCGCUUUGAUAUUAUUUGAAUUGUAUUAAACUGUCUUCUUACGCCUCCCUUCUGAGUCUUCUGAAUUUAUGGUGCACACGUGCGCGUGGACCACUUUUCUAUUAGAAGUCAUACCAAUUAGAACGAGGCUGGGACAAGUAACUAGGCUGGGUAGACUUUCGUGCUCCCGUUACGUUGCCCCCACCUUGGCUCGAGCUGUCCGCUUGGGUAAGCCAGGUCUAAAACACUCCCUCUAGGAUUUAAACCUAGAAUAACAUAGCCUCAUGCCGGAUCCCUAGUAGGAACAUCUGUUUGCAUCAUGUGCGUUUGACUUUGGGGACUCAACAUAGGGAUUGGGUCCGUCUAGGACAGGUGUACUCGAGAAAUGCAAGACCAUCCUGAUGCACCUUAUGUGCUACUUGUGCAUUAUGUUUGAUUCGGUUUGUGCAUGUUGACCAGUUUCUAAAAAUUAUAUAAAAAGAAAAAUAAAAAUAUAAAAAUUGAGAAAAACCAGAAGGGAGAAAUAGGAGAGAGAAAAUUUACCGGGUAUUUACCCCAAAAAGAUUAUUACAAAAUAAGCCUGAAUUUUUCAAAAAGUGUCAUCCUAUUCCUAAAAUAUUUACGAACUACGCGGGUCUGAUUCACACCGAAUGUGAGAUACGUAGGAAACCUUCAUCGGGUCCGGCCCCUAAUUUUCAAAAAAUCCAAAAGUAUUUUUCACCCUUUUUAAAAGUCUUUCUCCCAAAAAUUCAAAAAAAAAAUCGAAAUCCAAAAAAUAUUUCUUUCUUUCGAAAAUUACCAAAAAUUAAAAUCCAAAAAUAUUUUCUUUCUUUUUUAAAAGUCUUUCUUUCGAAAAUAUUAAAUAAUAAAAAGAGAUAGAGAAUUCAAAGUUCAAAAAUAUUUUCUUUGUUAAGAGCUUUUACGAAUAGAUUUUUUUAAAAGUAAAAAAAAGAAUUAGUUUAUUUAUUUUGUUCCUGAUCUUCUCGAACUACGCAAGAUCUGAUUCAUGUCUCCACAUGAUACGUAGGCAACCCACAUCAGGUUCGAUCGAAUCAUUUUGAAAAAAAAAAGUUAAAAAGAAAAGAUAAAAAGUGGUAAAAAAAAGGAAAAAAAAGAGUGUUUAUUCUGUUGUUGAUCCAAGGUCACGAAAAGGCAAGUAGGCAAGUUGGCAGUAAAAAAUAAAAAAAUAAAGGCAAAUGUAGGGUCGACUUUACCAUAUUUGAGCAAUAGCACAUGGCCUGCUCGGGAUGAUUUGCUGACGGAGAAUUUGAUCCAGCAUUGAAAGCCAUAGUAGCCAUUGCCGCGGCAGAAGAGAAACAAAAAAAAAACAGGCCCCAACCCAGAAACUUUCCCUAUCAGACGGGAGUCUCGGUAGCCGGUGUUGCUAUCUUUUCUGCCUUUCGAGUUAUUUCAGUGUGUCAUCCCAAUGUUUUUUUACUGUCUUACAUUCUUGUGUAAACUCCUCUAUCUUUUUUCUUUAAAUAUUCAGAUAAAUGAAAUCAAUAUUUCAUCAUCCAUGAAUGUCGCUUUUCUUAAUCUUGUCACCUUUCUUAUUCUCUUUUCAAUUCGAUAAAUGCAGAUUUUAAUAACAUGACAUGCUUGCGGACUUUAUGCUCGGGUCCUAAAAUAUUGUCAGAUUUCGAAAUAAUGAACCCGGAAGCAUAAUGUGUUGAAGAUAAGGCUUGUAAGAAAAUAAACAAAGAAUUGAAACAAAAUUGAGAUUCCCUCUCUUCGGAUCAUUAUUGAAGUCGAGAUCGCUAAUGAAGAUUGAGCCAAGACUCGAUUGAAAUCUUGUCUUUGAUGAAUGGAAAGUGAUUGGCCGGAGGCUACCAUGGGCAGUUGUACAACAAAGAAUGACCCAUGCUUACAACAAGAAAGUACGUCCCAAGAAAUUUGAAGUGGGGCAACUCGUCCUGAGACAUAUUCGCCUGCACCAUGAAGAAGCUAAGGAAAAAUUUGCUCCAAAUUGCAAAGGUUCAUAUGUUAUAACAAGAGUAUUGCCAAAUGGAUCGUUGUAUUUGGAAGACAUCGAAGGAAAUGUCCUCGAGACAAUAGUCAACGCAGAUGCAGUCAAAAGUUCCAAUGUUUAACUCAUUACUUGGUGUUAAUAUUUUCUGAUUGGUAUGACGGAGGCUUUCUUUCUCGCUACCCAAAUACCAUUAACCUUUUUGCAAACCCUUUGAGUUGGUUCCCUAUUUUUUAUUACCUCUUUGAAACCUGGAAGUUAUUAUUAAAAAUGACAAAGAAAAUAAAAAAACAAAAGAAAAAGAAAAAGGGAGAAAAUAAAAAAAAAAGCAAAAGAAAACAAAAAUGAAAACAAAACAAAAUAGAACAAUAAAAGAAAAUCAAAAACAAAGUUCUUUGAAUUACGUUCGACUUGAUUCUGAAAGGAUACGUAGGCAACCUCUCUCUGAGGUUCAGUCAUACAAAAAUAAAAAUUCAAAUUCCCCAAAAAGUGAAAUUGAGGCAGAUAUUAUAAUGUUUCGAUAAUUGUUUUGCCUGAAAGGUUCCAAAGUUGUAAUUCAGUCCAAAUUCUUUUUAACCAAAUCCUUUUCAAGUCCUUCUGAUCAAUGAACGAGAAUGUUUACAGAAUUAGAGGAUACAAUCGUUUGGAUCUGAUACAAUCAAAAUAAGAGAAAUAAAAUGAGAGAGUCUUAUUAGUGAAAACCCUCGCGGGCACCGUAAGGUGAUGGUAAGCAGAGAAAUUAAAAUGAGAGAGUCUUGUUAGUGAAAACUCGCAAAGAGCACUACAAGGCGACUGUGAGAAGAGAAACGAGAGAGAUUAGCGGGUUUUAGCUGGUGAAAACCCGCAAAGGGCGCCACUGUUCAAAAGAGGAUCCUCAUGACCGUUGGGCAUCAACAAAACCCUGGCAAGGUUUCUUGGUUUGAAAACAUGAGUUGUGAUGAAUUUCUGAGAGUUGGACAGUUUACACAGACUAGGCAUCCAGUCCAAGAGGCAUGUCAUGUUCAUUGAAGUCUGCAUGUACUCCAGAUAAGUCCUUCUUUCCUUUCCCCAAAAGGGAUACCUCUCGUCUAAGUUCAUUUGUCCAUUUCAUUGUUUGUUUUUCUUUGAAUCCCUUUCGGUCUAAUUCUGCUAUGAAACUAAGACAAAGAAAGGAUGACAAGACAGAUUUAUAGAGUUCUUGUUUGAAGCGAGCUAAUAUAUUCAAAAGGCGCUCAACCUCGACAAGGGCAUCAAGUCAACCUGACUGGCCAUGAUUGGCCGAUGUUUUGAAAUGGAAAACUGUGAAAGAAGUCAAAAGAAAAAUGCUCACAAAGGCAACAUAAAGUUUAAAAAGGUUAAGUACCGUCAUUGCAAAGUUUGAAAAAGCCAAAGGUUCUCCAGAGUCAAAAAUGCAGUUGGUAUUAAGGAAAUAAUCAGUUGCAAUUGAAACCAUUAAAGAAGAUGAGCCAAGAUCAAAAGAUUGAAAUAAUCAAGGCCACAAACCGACCUCCAUUUUAAAACUAACAAAUCUUUCUUUGUUCAGAACAGGAAUAGAACAAUUUUAAGAAACAGUUCGUGGCAGGACGAACAUCACCAAGUGAAGUUCUCAAGUCCUUGAUUUCCUUCUAAUAUACAUGUAAUUAUUUUAUUUUUAGUUUCAUUAUAAGGAACCAAUACCCUAUCUUCAACACAGAGUACUACAUCCCCUGUCUGCAUUACUUUCUACCUACAUAGGAUACGACAUUCUCUAGUAGCAUCUAGAGAGCCAAGAGCCUCAUUUUAUUGCAAACAUAUGGUACUACAUCCCCUGGUUGCAUUAUUUUCUGCCUCUAUAGGGUACGAUAUUCCCUAGUUGAAUCUUAUAGAGCCAACAACCUCACCUUAUUGCCAACACUGGGUACUACAUCCCCUGGUUGCAUUUUUUGUUGCAAACAUAGGGUACGACAUUACCUAGUAGCAUCCCGAGUGCCACGAGCCUCACCUUAUUGCCAACACAGGGUACUACAUCCCCUGGUUGCAUCACUUAUUGCUAACAUAGGGUACAACAUUCCCUAGUCGCAUCUUAGAGUGCCACGAUCCUCGUUUUAUUGCCAACAUAGGGUACUACAUCCCUUGGCUACAUUACUUUCUGCCAAUAUAGGGUACGACAUUCUCUAGUAGCAUUUCCGAGUGCCACGAGCCUCACCUUAUUGCCAACACAGGGUACUACAUCCCCUGGUUGCAUCACUUAUUGCCAACGUGGGGUACGACAUUCCCUAGUCGCAUCUUAGAGUGCCACGAGUCUCAUUUUAUUGCCAACACAUGGUACUACAUCCAUUGGCCACAUUACUUUCUACCUAUAUAGGGUACGACAUUCCCUAGUAGCAUCUCAGAGUGCGACGAGCCUCAUCUUAUUGCCGACACAGGGUACUACAUCCCUUGGUCGCAUUACUUUCUACCUACAUAGGGUACGACAUCCCCUAGUAGAAUCUCAGAGUGCCACGAGCCUUAUCUUAUCAUCAACACAGGGUGCUACAUCCCCCGGUUUCCUUCCUUCUUGUUAACACAGGGUACGUCUUCCCCUAUUAUUUAAAAAAUGCAUGUUUUUUUAAUUCUUUAUUCUGCAAUAGCAAAGAUAGUUUCAUGUGUUUUCAAUAACUCACAAAAAUUUCCUAGUGCAACAAACUGAGGCAGAAAAUUUUUGUUCGUUUUGUUUGUUUGUGUUGGCUUGUAGGUUUUUCUGCAAAUCAUAGAUUGGAUAUGCAAGAAUAAGAUUUCAGUUCUUUCCAGAGAAAGUAAAACAUUUGAUCCACAACUAGAUGCAAUCUGCUUUGACGUAAUUCAUGCAGAGACAUAUGGUCAAGAUCC
rnacentral:lncRNA from 1 species